CGUAGAGAAAUCGAGUCUUAAUAGGGCGUUUAGUUGCUGGGUAUAGACCCGAAACCAGGCGAUCUAUCCAUGAGCAGGUUGAAGGUUGGGUAACACUAACUGGAGGACCGAACCCACUGUCGUUGAAAAGCCAGGGGAUGACUUGUGGAUAGGGGUGAAAGGCUAAUCAAGCCUGGUGAUAGCUGGUUCUCCCCGAAAGCUAUUUAGGUAGCGCCUCGGACGAAUACCAUAGGGGGUAGAGCACUGUUUCGGCUAGGGGGUCAUCCCGACUUACCAAACCGAUGCAAACUCCGAAUACCUAUGAGUACUAUCCGGGAGACAGACUGCGGGUGCUAACGUCCGUAGUCAAGAGGAAAACAAUCCAGACCGCCAGCUAAGGCCCCAAAAUCAUAGUUAAGUGGGAAACGAUGUGGGAAGGCAUAGACAGCUAGGAGGUUGGCUUAGAAGCAGCCACCCUUUAAAGAAAGCGUAAUAGCUCACUAGUCGAGUCGGCCUGCGCGGAAGAUGUAACGGGGCUAAAACUAUGUGCCGAAGCUGCGGAUGUAUACUUUGUAUACGUGGUAGGGGAGCGUUCUGUAAGCCGAUGAAGGUGUGUUGAGAAGCAUGCUGGAGGUAUCAGAAGUGCGAAUGCUGACGUGAGUAACGACAAAACGGGUGAAAAACCCGUUCGCCGAAAGACCAAGGGUUCCAGUCCAACGUUAAUCGGGGCUGGGUGAGUCGACCCCUAAGGCGAGGCCGAAAGGCGUAGUCGAUGGGAAAAUGGUUAAUAUUCCAUUACUUCUGUGUAAUGCGAUGAGAGGACGGAGAAGGCUAAAUCAGCCUGGCGUUGGUUGUCCAGGUGAAAGGAUGUAGGCAUGUAUCUUAGGCAAAUCCGGGGUACUCUAUGCUGAGAUCUGAUAGCAAGCUGUACUUGUACAGCGAAGUGGUUGAUGCCAUGCUUCCAGGAAAAGUCUCUAAGCUUCAGUUACACAGGAAUCGUACCCGAAACCGACACAGGUGGUCAGGUCGAGUAGACCAAGGCGCUUGAGAGAACUCUGCUGAAGGAACUAGGCAAAAUGGUACCGUAACUUCGGGAGAAGGUACGCUGUUGUUGGUGAUGGAACUCGCUUCCUGAGCUGACGACAGCCGCAGAAACCAGGCCGCUGCAACUGUUUAUUAAAAACAUAGCACUCUGCAAACACGAAAGUGGACGUAUAGGGUGUGAUGCCUGCCCGGUGCUGGAAGGUUAAUUGAUGGGGUUAGCGUAAGCGAAGCUCUUGAUCGAAGCCCCAGUAAACGGCGGCCGUAACUAUAACGGUCCUAAGGUAGCGAAAUUCCUUGUCGGGUAAGUUCCGACCUGCACGAAUGGCAUAAUGAUGGCGGCGCUGUCUCCAGCAGAGGCUCAGUGAAAUCGAAAUCGCUGUGAAGAUGCAGUGUACCCGCGGCUAGACGGAAAGACCCCGUGAACCUUUACUGCAGCUUGACACUGAACUUUGACCUUACUUGUGUAGGAUAGGUGGGAGGC
rnacentral:rRNA from 1 species